GACAGAGGGUGCAAACGUUGUUCGGAAUUACUGGGCGUAAAGCGCAUGUAGGCGGCCUAGCAGGUCGGAUGUGAAAUCCCUCGGCUCAACCAAGGAAGUGCAUUCGAAACCGCAAGGCUGGAGUCCCGGAGAGGAUGGUGGAAUUCUCGGUGUAGAGGUGAAAUUCGUAGAUAUCGAGAGGAACACCUGCGGCGAAGGCGGGUUGCUGGGCUGACACUGACGCUGAUGCGCGAAAGCUAGGGGAGCGAACGGG
rnacentral:rRNA from 1 species